rnacentral:sRNA from 1 species
CCUGCUUGAGCUCUUCCACUAAGUAGCUACCCGCCAUGCACUUUGGAGAAGCUUUGAGGUCAUAUGAAACAUCUACAAACAACACGAAAAGACUAAUUUGAGACAGGGCCAUGCCGAUUUGCCCUUCGGGUUCUGUACGCUUUUACUGAAUCAAUAUCCAUAUACCAUAGGCUUUCAAUGAAUGAACAUAUAUAGUGCUAAUUACUAACUACCAAAAUAUUUAUAGAUUGGGCUCUAUCAGGCAACCUUGUUAUUGUUUUCCAGCAUUUGUGCGUCCGGAUAAACAAUUCCGUACGACACUUUAGAAGCAAAGCAG